rnacentral:rRNA from 1 species
UGAACAGGGAAAAGCCCAGCACCGAAGCCUGUGGUCAUUUGGUCACUAGGCAAUGUGGUGUUCAGGUCGUUCCAUAGAGGUGCUGCUCCACCCUAAGUCCAGCAAUGAGUACGGUGGUACGGACAUGGCCCACAGAGGGUGAAAGGCCCGUGGGGGUGGAGAUCAGGCAGGCCAGUGCCUCUCUGGGUAGACCUUGGAGUCGGGUUGUUUGUGAAUGCAGCCCAAAGUGGGUGGUAAACUCCAUCCAAGGCUAAAUACUUGCACGAGUCCGAUAGCGAACAAGUACCGUGAGGGAAAGUUGAAAAGUACUUUGAAGAGAGAGUAAACAGUGCGUGAAACCGCUCAGAGGUAAACGGGUGGAGUUGAACUGCAAGCUUCGGGAAUUCAGCUGGUGAGUGUGGUUUGGGCUUGGUCAAGUCGGUUGGACAUUGAGGUCUGUGUAGCGGCAGGUCCUUACUCUCGGGUAAGGAUGCGCGAUACACUUAUCAAGUGUUGUGCGCCUCUUUGUUUAUCGGGCCAAUUUGCCAGUGCACUUUCUCGGAGUGUUCACCACGACCGGCACUGCUGUCUGAUUGCUGUGGUUAAACCGGACUUACAGGGCUCUUGUGGCGUUGUAUGGCCGGGAAGGCAGGUAGCUCGUUGGCUAGCUUGCGGUUUACCGCUGGCGUUUGGUUUUCGAGUGUAAAUAGCUGACCACGAUAUUUCUGUGCAGUGUGUCGGAGACGGCGGCUUGUGGUACGUGCGUGCGUGCCGGUUCUGCUGGCGUGUCCGGGUUUGGUUGUCAUGUUGCUUGUGAAUGCAGGCCUGGCAAUGGUUCGGAUUCGUUUGGUGGGCGGUUGCGUAUGUGGUGCCGUUAAGGGCCAACAGUCUGUGGUGUAGUGGUAGACUAUCCACCUGACCCGUCUUGAAACACGGACCAAGGAGAGUAACAUGUGCGCGAGUCAUUGGGCGUAACGAAACCCACAGGCGCAGUGAAAGUAAAGGCUUGGCUUGUCCAGGCUGAGGUGAGAUCCUGUCGUUUUCACACAUGGUGCCACCAAGCAACGAGCGGCAGGCGCAUCACCGGCCCGUCCCAUGACGUAGACACAUAAUCUUCGGACCAGUGCACCGUCGGGGCGGAGCAUGAGCGUACAUGUUGAGACCCGAAAGAUGGUGAACUAUGCUUGCGCAGGUUGAAGCCAGAGGAAACUCUGGUGGAGGACCGCAGCGAUUCUGACGUGCAAAUCGAUCGUCAAACGUGAGUAUAGGGGCGAAA